rnacentral:ncRNA from 2 species
CGCUGCGCCACGGGGUGUGCCACGCACUGAGAUCCUCCACUGAGGGAACCCGUUGAACCUGAUCCGGUUAAUACCGGCGUAGGAAUGGCGCGCCCAGGCUCC